AACCUCGCAGCGGAAAAGAAAGCAGAUUUAUCAUCAUUACUUCACAAAGUCACAAGACCACAUGUACCCAACCGCUGUUGAUGCCGCGUAGCUCGGCACAUUGCCACGUAGGUUGAUCUCCCUAGCUCGCUCUGCCCUCCCUCCACGCGCCCGUUCCCCCGAGCAGAUCCAUCAAGCUCUUGGACGUCCAUCUGCUAGCUGCAUGCUGGCGUGCUGCCAGUCAUGGCGACGACGUAAGUAACGUCGUUGGUGCCGCUGCUCCUGCUUACCCUGUGGCACGAUAUAUAGCGCUGACCCAGCACGAAACUUACGGGCCAAGCAAGAUCAACAGGCAUCACCUACGCAUGCACGGGCAGUACAGUCGUACGUCAUGGAAGGAGGGAGAUCUGAGAUGCGUGUUCCACGUCCACACGGUGUCACCACAUACACGCGGCAUCGGAGACCAUGACUCCAUGAGCAUCCCAGGCAGAUAACUCCUUGAGCUGGCUAGCUGCCAUGCGUUCGAGCGUCCACAUCCACAUCCACACGGCAGCAGCAGCAGCAGCAGCAUGGAGCAAAUCAACAUCGGAAGCUUGCCGGGCGCGCCUCGUCCCGUCGUCAGCCCCACCGCCAUUCACCAGAUACUCGUCGCUAUUACAAAUAGGCAACCGCAUCUCUUCAUUCCGUCCAUUCUCGAUACUCCUCCCCCUACCCUACUACUCCCGGCUCCUCAAUCUCCUCAUCAGCCGCGCAGGGACGAUCGACCUCCAUACAUAGGACGAUCUCAGCCGUGCGGUGCAACGGUAAUACGACGCGCUCUAUAUGGCGCCGCAAACGACGGGUCCUAUCUACGACCCGGCGCCUAUUGAUCAAGUCUGGAUUAUUGUUGACAAGGAUGGAGGGAUCUAUAUUGGCAGCGAUGACACCGAAUAGCCGGUGAUACUUUGAUCUCUCGUCUCAAUUCCUUUGCUAUCUAUUAUGUUUUCAUCUGCAUACGGUAUCGCUAUAAGUAAUCAGUUAUUCCGUCUGUGUUUCCAUUGCCUUGUUAUGUUUUUAUCCACUGGAAUAUAUAUGCUUCAUGCAUACACAUAUUUGCAGCCUAUACAAGUUACAGUCAACUUGCUUGCUUAAUUCCCCGAAAAAAAAACUUUCUUGCUUAAUUAUGAAGUUGACUAUGAGCGCGAGUUGAUUAGCCUGUGUGUGACUAGUCGUUGUCUCUAACAUGCUUGUUAGUUUAUUAUCCUGUCGGCUGCUUGUUCCACAGGCGGGACCUACAGUUCAGAUUACACAAAUAUUCAGUGAGUAUUUCCGUUUCUUCUCUUUAUAUUAGGUGUGCUUUCCGCUCAAUUUGGUCUCGUAACAUCUAUGUCCUUUCAGUAAUUCGAAUAUUUUUCCUCUGAAGAUAUGGAAACUUUCGACACAGCGCUGCUACGCAUACGACGACAUACCAACCUCUCUCUGGUGCCCCCUCAUCCUUUGUGGCCGAUGAGGUUGCAUCUCGCCAACCGGACCUGCACAAGGAUUUGCGGUCCUCUGGAAUGCCCACGAGCGUCCCAACUCCCAAUCCUCAUAUUUUUCGUUCGUCGUCAUUGCUGCCAUGACCAUGCUGUCAUCGUCGUGGUCACCCCUUCAACCACGCAUCUCAUCAUUGACUGUAUCAGCUAUUCACCUGUCCUCCUGUCAUACCUGCUGAUUUGAGGCCGAGGAGAGUUGUGGUGAUUGUGUGUAUAUAUCUUGGAUUAUUGAACUAGUGGCAAGAAAUUGUCUUGUAACACAUGUACUUGCUGUUUCUCUACUCUAUUUGCGACAUAUGAACUGCUGGUGGAGCCAUAUGUACUCUGGAGUGCGUGCGUGCGUGUAAAUAAUAUGGCAUCAUGGUAUAUCUA